rnacentral:tRNA from 1 species
UGGCUCAGUGGUUAAGAGCACUGAUUGCUCUUUCAGAGGACCUGGGUUCAAUUCCCAG